rnacentral:rRNA from 1 species
CCUACGGGUGGCAGCAGUGAGGAAUAUUGGUCAAUGGCCGGAAGGCUGAACCAGCCAUGCCGCGUGAAGGUCAGUGCCCUAUGGGCGUUAAACUUCUUUUGUGCGGGAGCAAUAAUGGUCACGUGUGGCCAGACGAGAGUACCGUACGAAUAAGCAUCGGCUAACUCCGUGCCAGCAGCCGCGGUAAUACGGGGGAUGCAAGCGUUAUCCGGAUUUAUUGGGUUUAAAGGGUGCGUAGGCUGUGGGGUAAGUCAGCGGUGAAAUGCCCCCGCUCAACGGGGUGAAGUGCCAUUGAUACUGCCUGGCUGGAAUGCGGAUGCGGUGGGAGGAAUGUGUGGUGUAGCGGUGAAAUGCAUAGAUAUCACACAGAACACCGAUUGCGAAGGCAUCUCACGAAUCCGCGAUUGACGCUGAUGCACGAAAGCGUGGGUAUCAAACAGGAUUAGAUACCCGGGUAGUC